UACAGAGACUGCAAGCGUUAUUCGGAUUCACUGGGCGUAAAGGGCGCGCAGGUGGCCAAGUGUGUUAGGCGUGAAAGCCCGGGGCUUAACCCCGGAAUUGCGCCUAAAACUACUUGGCUAGAGCAUUGGAGAGGGGAGCAGAAUUCAUGGUGUAGCAGUGAAAUGCGUAGAUAUCAUGAGGAAUACCAGAGGCGAAGGCGGCUCCCUGGACAAUUGCUGACACUCAGGCACGAAAGCGUGGGGAGCAAAAGGG
rnacentral:rRNA from 1 species